rnacentral:rRNA from 1 species
AUUGGGCCUAAAACGUCCGUAGCCGGUCUGGUACAUUCGUGGGUAAAUCAACCCGCUCAACGGGUUGAAUUCUGCGAGCACGGCCAGACUUGGGACCGGGAGAGGUGUGGGGUACUCUCAGGGUAGGGGUAAAAUCCUGUCAUCCUGAGAGGACCACCUGUUGCGAAGGCGCCACACUAGAACGGAUCCGACGGUCAGGGACGAAACCUAGGGGCACGAACCGGAUUAGAUACCCGGGUAGUCCUAGGUGUAAACGCUGUGGACUUGAUGUUGGGGGCGCUCCGAGCGCUCUCAGUGUCGAAGCGAAGGUGAUAAGUCCACUGCCUGGGGAGUACGGUCGCAAGGCUGAAACUUAAAGGAAUUGGCGGGGGAGCA